rnacentral:rRNA from 1 species
GCAUGUGCGCGAGUCAUUGGGACUCCUAUUAAACCUAAAGGCGCAAUGAAAGUAAAGGUCCGCCUCGCGCGGACCGAGGGAGGAUGGGCCCGUCUCCGGGCGGGCCCCGCACUCCCGGGGCGUCUCGUUCUCAUCGCGAGAAGAGGCGCACCCAGAGCGUACACGCUGGGACCCGAAAGAUGGUGAACUAUGCCUGGUCAGGACGAAGUCAGGGGAAACCCUGAUGGAGGUCCGUAGCGAUUCUGACGUGCAAAUCGAUCGUCGGAACUGGGUAUAGGGGCGAAAGACUAAUCGAA